GCUACCAGUGGACCAAGCUCGAUGGGCGUGUGACUCAGUGGUAGAGUGUUCGCUUUGCAUCUGAAUAGCUCCAAGUGGCUGUUUUCCAAGCUUGCGAAAAGUCCGGUGUUCGAUCCACCGCUCGUCCAA
rnacentral:tRNA from 1 species